GAGAGAGGAACAGAGAGGGAGAUUGAGAAUGAGGACAGAACAGAGAUGGAACAAGAGCAGAUAUAUCCUGUAGGGACAUGAGGAGGAAACAGUGGCAAAAGGAGCUAUGUGAGGCUGCUAAAGGCAGUGGAUCCUUCAUCAGACCACAGGCAACAAUAACACAUGUACCAGUUGUUGAACUGCAGAGAUGGACAGGAACAGGAGAGUGAUAGAUGAGAUGAGGAGAUGGAAGGAGG